rnacentral:tRNA from 1 species
GGACUGGUAGUCUAGUGGUAUGAUGAUGCCCUCACAUGGCGUAGAUCAUGGGUUCAAAUCCCAUCCAGUCCA